GGUGGUGGCUCAGUGGUAGAGCACUUGCCUAGCACGUGUGAGGCCCUGGGUUCGAUUCUCAGCACCA
rnacentral:tRNA from 1 species